rnacentral:piRNA from 1 species
UGCUUUGACAAGUAAAAUGGGCACCUCAGU